GAUAAUGGUCUGCAAUUUGUUUUCCAGAACUGGGAAUAGCUGCCAGCACUGCUCUCAGGGAAAGGCAGUGGCUGUUUACCUGCCCUGGCCAGCCAGUCCUGGGAGGACAGGAGAACAAUUAAAUGGUUUACCUUACUCACAAUAACUACUUUCCUGUAACAUGGCUGGAAAGAAAGAAGGAAUCCUAUUGACAUUCCCAUUGGUGAAAGUCAGAACAUGAGGGUCUGGAUCCCAUCCAGUAACAGAACUAAAUCCAGUCCUGUGUCAGGAUGAUGUAACCACCAGGGGAUUGCAGAUGCCAAGCACAGGAUAUGUGUGGAGGUGUGGACAGCUGGGAUUGUCUGCUCAUCCACUGGCCUAACUGCCUGAGCCAGCACAAAGGAUGGAGGGCAUAUCCAAAGCUCUCAUAAGGAGACUGAAACCAUGGGCUGGAUUUGCUAAGGGCUGUGAAACUUUUUCUGCCUUAUUGGGAGGAAAUAUGUACUGGGUUGCCAAGGUGGAAUUUUAUCAGCUUGCCUUCAAAGUCUACUGGAGACAGGAGAAAGCUGCCUUAGGACUUCAGCAUCCCAGGAACUAGGUGAGUAUCCUUGUUCUGUGUUUUCCACUCCUUAUGGCUUGGUAAUGCAUCUUAUUGUAAACAGGCAAACUCGGGAGCAACAUCCACAGUUCUGGUUGCUUUGUUCCAGAAAAAAAUGGUUUUGAAGGACCUCAGCAUGAUUCCAUCCUAAUUCGGAAUACUGCACAAUGCUGAAGAAAUGAGGAA
rnacentral:lncRNA from 1 species